rnacentral:rRNA from 1 species
UACGUAGGGGGCAAGCGUUGUCCGGAAUCAUUGGGCGUAAAGCGCGUGUAGGCGGCUCGGUAAGUCCGCUCUGAAAGCCCGGGGCUCAACCCCGGGAGGCGGGUGGAUACUGCUGAGCUCGAGUCCGGGAGAGGUGAGUGGAACUCUGAGUGUAGAGGUGAAAUUCGUAGAUAUUCGGAAGAACACCAGUGGCGAAGGCGGCUCACUGGCCCGGUACUGACGCUGAGGUGCGAAAGCGUGGGGAGCAAACAGG